rnacentral:rRNA from 1 species
UACGUAGGGUGCAAGCGUUGUCCGGAAUUAUUGGGCGUAAAGAGCUCGUAGGCGGUUUGUCGCGUCUGCUGUGAAAAUCCAGGGCUUAACCCUGGACCUGCAGUGGGUACGGGCAGACUAGAGUGCGGUAGGGGAGAUCGGAAUUCCUGGUGUAGCGGUGAAAUGCGCAGAUAGUCAGAGGAACACCGGUGGCGAAGGCGGUGCGUCGUGGGCCGGAACUGACGCUGAGGAGCGAAAGCGUGGGGAGCAAACAGG